CUCGGAGUUUGAUCCUGGCUCAGGAUGAACGCUGGCGGAAUGCUUUACACAUGCAAGUCGAACGGUAGAGGGGGCAACCCCUUGAGAGUGGCGAACGGGUGAGUAAUAUAUCGGAACGUGCCCAGUCGUGGGGGAUAACGUAGUGAAAAUUACGCUAAUACCGCAUACGAUCUAAGGAUGAAAGCGGGGGACCGUAAGGCCUCGCGCGAUUGGAGCGGCCGAUAUCAGAUUAGGUAGUUGGUGGGGUAAAGGCUCACCAAGCCAACGAUCUGUAGCUGGUCUGAGAGGACGACCAGCCACACUGGAACUGAGACACGGUCCAGACUCCUACGGGAGCAGCAGUGGGGAAUUUGGACAAUGGACGAAAGUCUGAUCCAGCCAUUCCGCGUGCAGGAUGAAGGCCCUC
rnacentral:rRNA from 1 species